rnacentral:tRNA from 2 species
GCCCGGCUAGCUCAGUCGGUAGAGCAUGAGACUCUUAAUCUCAGGGCCGUGGGUUCGAGCCCCAUGUUGGGCG